rnacentral:rRNA from 1 species
AAAGUGUAAUGAGGAUAAUUUACAAACCUUACCGAAAGCAAUUGGAGGGCAAGUCUGGUGCCAGCAGCCGCGGUAAUUCCAGCUCCAAAAGCGUAUAUUAAAGUUGUUGCAGUUAAAAAGCUCGUAGUUGAAGUUCUGGUUGUAUUGGGCCUCUGCACUCGAUGCGGAGGAACCAGCAGUCAUCCGCUUGCAAAUACAUGUCCUUCCUUAACCGGUAGGCUGUAUAAGUAAGCACUUUACCUUGAGAAAAACAGAGUGUUCCAGGCAGGUUUGUCCGGAAUGCGUUAGCAUGGAAUAAUAGAAUAUGACUGAAGUCGAUUUAUUGGUUAAAGGCUUUAGUAAUGAUUAAUAGGAACAAUCGGGGGCAUUGGUACUUGUCAGUCAGAGGUGAAAUUCUAGGAUUUGACAAAGACUAACUGAUGCGAAAGCGUUUGCCAAGAAUGUUUUCAUUUAAUCAAGAACGAAAGUUAGGGGAUCAAAGACGAUCAGAUACCGUCCUAGUCUUAACUAUAAACUAUACCGACUCGGAUUCAGA